AUUGAACGCUGGCGGCAUGCCUAACACAUGCAAGUCGAACGAGAUCUUCGGGUCUAGUGGCGCACGGGUGCGUAACGCGUGGGAAUCUGCCCUUUGGUUCGGAAUAACAGUUGGAAACGACUGCUAAUACCGGAUGAUGACGAAAGUCCAAAGAUUUAUCGCCAGAGGAUGAGCCCGCGUAGGAUCAGCUAGUUGGUGUGGUAAAGGCGCACCAAGGCGACGAUCCUUAGCUGGUCUGAGAGGAUGAUCAGCCACACUGGGACUGAGACACGGCCCAGACUCCUACGGGAGGCAGCAGUGGCGAAUAUUGGACAAUGGGCGAAAGCCUGAUCCAGCAAUGCCGCGUGAGUGAUGAAGGCCUUAGGGUUGUAAAGCUCUUUUACCCGGGAUGAUAAUGACAGUACCGGGAGAAUAAGCUCCGGCUAACUCCGUGCCAGCCGCCGCCGUAA
rnacentral:rRNA from 1 species